rnacentral:rRNA from 1 species
GAUGAACGCUAGCGGCAGGCUUAACACAUGCAAGUCGAGGGGCAGCGCGGGAUAGCAAUAUCCUGGCGGCGACCGGCGGAAGGGUGCGUAACGCGUGAUCGACAUGCCCGUUGCCCGGGGACAACCUGUGGAAACGCCGACUAAUCCCCGAUGGGAUAUUGUGCCGCAUGGCACGAUAUUGAAAGUUACGGCGGCGACGGAUUGGCUCGCGUCCGAUUAGCUUGUUGGCGGGGUAACGGCCCACCAAGGCUGCGAUCGGUAGGGGUUAUGAGAGGAAGGCCCCCCACACUGGGACUGAGACCCGGCACAUACUCCUACGGGCGGCAGCAGUGAGGCAUAUUGGUGAAGGGGCGGAAGACUGAACCAGCCAUGCCGAGUGCGGGAAGGAGGCCCUCUGGGCUGUGAACCGCUUUUGCCUGGGGGAAAUAAGGGCGUCGCGCACGUCCGAUGAGAGUACCAGGAGAAUAAGCAUCGGCUAACUCCGUG